CUGACACUCUACAAAGGGCUGGGUCCUGAAGUCUGUCAGACAGCUACCAGAUGAGGUCAGAGACUGACCACCGCCCUCAUCACCUGCUCCUGUAUGCUGCAUCACACACAAGAAAUGACAUUAUCAUCAGGUACAGCAGACUAUAUCCACUCCAUAGGGCCCUCAUGUUUAGCGGACAGGUGGGAAUCUGCCUUGAUUGGCUGUGCAUUACCAAGAGGAACCCUGGAUUCAGGCGAGUUGACUGUCCAGGAGGACCGCGGUCUCCUAUCGGCCCAGAACCACCUGAGAUACAAAGACCACAACAGGAGGAACUGGAGGAUUUGUACCAGGAUCUCCCAUGUCCCCGGGACAACCUGAAACAGCAAAUCCAGAUCAGGGGGUGUCACAUGUGACACACACGUCCAUCUAGUCCAUGAAGUCCCAGUGGUCCAGGUGGACCUGAUGCAACAAAAUCAUUUGGAAAUCAAACCGUAAACUGUAUGCUGCAAUCUGGCUGAUCAAUACAACAAAACACUCAAUAAAUACACACACCUCACACAGUACAGUACUGGUAAGAAUUUACCACAAAAAUGUAGCUUUCUCGAUUGAGAUGAUAUAUUGUCACCAUCACUGUCCAUCACUAAUUAGGAAAUGAUUUUGGUUUGUGUUCUGACCUUGGAGACCUAUGUCACCUUGAGGUCCAGGAGGACCACUGUUACCCGCUUUGCCAGGAAGCCCUGGAAAACCUGGACGACCUCUGGGACCUCGGGGACCAAUCGCACCUGAAAUGAACCACACAGACAGACACAAGGACAAACACACAGACCAGUUAAGGAGCUUGUUUUAUAGCUUGAGUUGGAGUAAGCAAAUCAUUUCUGAUAAAUGGUCAAAUAAAAGCAAAGACUCAAAUAUUCUCAUUAACACUGAUAAUUUAUAGUACAAUUUAACAUGAUGACAUUUUGAGAAACAGAAUUAUCUUCUUCUUUCUGCUUUUUCCUUAGGGGUCACCACAGUGGACCAUUUGCCUUCAUCUCACCCUAUGCCUAUGAAUAAGCAGAGACUGCUCACUGAGUUACUUGUAAUGAUUUAUUUACCAUCACUACCAUUAUGUUGUGGAAACUAGGAAUGGAUGAAAAAGCCAGUGUGCCAGUUUCUCCAGUGGCUGACCUUCACACACCUAUAUCCUCUGACUCCUCUGCCAAUUUUUUGCAUCUUCAAAAAUGUGUGGCAUGUUUGGUGUAAAUGCAUCACUAAUCCUGUCUGAUUGGAUAAAUAAUGGUCUUUCUUGGUUUUCUUAUACCAGGUCCCAUGACUCAGCUAAUGCCCUUGUCCAGAUGAGCCUGCUUGCCUGGUAGACCUGGGUCUCCACGGUGACCUGGAUCUCCUUUUCGUCCAUUCUGUCCUGGAUCCCCAAUGAAACCAGAACUAGAACAUCACCUGAUUGCCCAAAGUCUCCAGGAGCCCCUUUGUCUCCAGGGAAGCCCAUGGGUCCUGGAGGUCCUUGACGUCCUGGUAAGCCUGGUGGUCCUGGGAUACCACAGGAACCUGGUUUCCCGGGGGGGCCUGUGAUGCCUGGGGGUCCACUGAGUCCUGGAAACCCUGGAUUACCUGAAUGUACCUGGUCAAUCCCAGAGGUCCCGGGUUCCCUCUUCUACCUGAAGGGACACAUAGGAGACGUUUUGGCCUCAUUCAGACCUGGUCUGAGAACAAAUUCAGGACUGAUUGGGAACAUUCAGACCUGUACUUGGCGGAUGUAAAUACCAGGUCUAAAAUAAGGUCACAAAACAUUACCAAAAGAUUCUGGAGAUUCUUCUUGAAAAUCAACAUCUGUGUCAGCAGUGGAUGCAUGGUUUAGCCCUUCACAUCCUGGAGCUCCAUCUCGUCCAUCAAACCCUCUCUCUCCUGUCUUCCCUGGAGUUCCAGGGAACCCAGUCUGUCCUCGGGGCCCUGGCCCGCCAUACUUGCCUUGGGGCCCCAACAGACCUGAAAGACAC